GUGCUUAUUUCAACAGCACAUAUACUAAAAAUGGAAUGAUACAGAGAAGGUUAGCAUGGUCCCUGGACAAUGAUGACACGCAAAUUCAUGAAGCAUUCGAGGAUACA
rnacentral:snRNA from 1 species